AUCUAUGGCAACACUUAAUGGGAAAAAUUAUCUAUUGCAUCACUUAUUAUUAAUUCUAUCACCAAUAUUUCACAUAAUACCGCCAAAACAAAUUAUUUUUCUUUCUUUCUUUCUUUCUCAAAACCCUAAUUACCUCUUUCUCUUCGUCUUUCUUUCUCAUAAAAAUUGAUAACCCAUUUCUUCGGUUAAUCGACAACCAUUUCUCAGAUAAUCCACUUCUUAGCCAACAAAUCACCAGAAGAGUUUUCAACUGUCAUUCAAAGUAGCAGACUAUCCACUGCACAAUUGUAUUCACAUGGCCUCUCACAACUGUCUAAGGACUUUUUCACAUGUCUGUCCUAUAAUUCUGUCAGAUUGUUCUUCGCAACGUUGAGUGCAGUGAUUCUUGGCUUUAUAUUUUGGGAUGUCGGUUCAAAAAGGGGCUCAACUCAACUCAAAAUUUGUUCGUCGUUAUGGGUGCGUUUAAUGCUUCAUGCAUAUUCCUGGGGGUCAAUAAUUCUUCUUCAGUACAGCUAAUAGCUUCCACUGAGAGAAAAGUUUUCUACAGGGUGAAGGCUGCCGGAAUGUUCUCCGCCUUGCCAUAUACAGCAGCCUAGGUUAGCACAUUGGUAGAGUGCAUCUUAAUUGCUUCGAACUGCAACAGAUAUAUAUAAUAGUAUUUUAGUAUUUUUUUUUGAAUUACUCUGCUUUUAGAAAAAGAUGACAUGAUUGAUUACUAAUAUCAGUGAACUUCUUCUCUUUUGACAAACAAGGGUUAGUCGAAAUUCCAUACACUAUCAUGCAAACAUUAAUAUAUGGAAUCAUUGCAUAUUUGAUGAUCAACUUUGAAAGGACAGCUGGUAUAAACUAAGGACAAUUUUUUCAUGAUCAACUCCAUACUGUAUUUGCUAUUGUCUAUCCUUAGCUCUUCAACUAAUGGAAUGAGCUGCCUAUUUUGGUUGGUUUUUCUAGAAACCAUUCUGCUGAGUGUUCUCCCCAAAGGAUGAUGUACACAUACUUUUCUAUGGAAGAGUAUUUGUGCAACAUGAAUAUAAAAGACCAUCGUGACAUAUAUCAUUUUCUGAGGGAACCUUAGCAGCUUAGUUCGAAUAACUGAACUUUGUACUAUGUAAAAACUUAACUAAUUAUUUAGUUACUUAAUUAAUAUUUUGCUUUUUGAUUUAGAUUACUAA